rnacentral:misc_RNA from 1 species
AUAAUUCCUAAAAGUUAACCAUCUGGAAGUAAAACAAUAUCCAACCAAACAUCACCUAAACAUAUACUACUACUACUAAUACUAAUACCAUAGUGUGCCAAAGAAACCAUGAAAAUGGAUUUCUGUAAAUCAGCCAUAUAGCAUUUUACCUUAACUACAUACUGGAAAGAGGGGAGGAUCGAAGCGGGGAGAAAAAUAAGGAAAAUAAGCUCAAGUUGAGAAAUCAAGAAACGCGCCUAUACUCUGCCCUGUUAGCGUUGGCAAGGGGAAAACCCUUGGCAACUUCAUGUCGACACAGAAAAAGUGUUUUCACAGCGAUUUUGGCCAGCCCAUAUUUGCAUACAUUGACAUACCAUGCAUUGGUUGGCCAGCGUUACCAUAAGGUCCUGAUUCAUGUUGGAAAGGACUGUCGCCAUUUUCCUCAGACGAGUCACUUGAGGCAUCACCUUGAGAAGGAGGGCUCUCCCCUGUGGCAGGAGCACCAAAAUUCAACAUAUUGGAUGGUGGUGUCGAAGAUGGCACCUUAGACUUUGGCUUUUUCCCUUCAGCAAGGAAGCUACCCACAAUUACCUGCACUGGUGUGGCAGCCAUAAGCACUCCUGAAACUCCACCACCCAUUACUCUACCAUCUGCCCCCGCCAGUGACACACUCAGACCACUUGGUCCACUGCUGCCAUUAUUCUCCGACUGCAUGAAGGAACCUGUCAAUGAGAUGAUCUCAUAUCGGCCCUCGUAAUUAAUAGUGCCACCCCCCAUUGCUGGUUGGCGAAGGGUGACGUUACAGAUGGCUCCAUUUGCAGAUAGAAUACAA